UACAGAGGUCUCAAGCGUUGUUCGGAUUCAUUGGGCGUAAAGGGCGCGUAGGCGGCUUCGCAAGUGGAAGGUGAAAUCCCUCGGCUUAACCGAGGAACUGCCCUCCAACUGCGUUGCUUGAGGCCGGGAGAGGUGAGUGGAAUUCCCAGUGUAGCGGUGAAAUGCGUAGAUAUUGGGAGGAACACCAGUGGCGAAGGCGGCCUCACUGACCGGUUCUGACGCUGAGGCGCGAAAGCGUGGGGAGCAAACGGG
rnacentral:rRNA from 1 species